rnacentral:rRNA from 1 species
GACGAACGCUGGCGGCGUGCUUAACACAUGCAAGUCGUACGGUAAGGCCCUUUCGGGGGUACACGAGUGGCGAACGGGUGAGUAACACGUGAGUAACCUGCCCACAACUUUGGGAUAACGCUAGGAAACUGGUGCUAAUACUGGAUAUGUGCUCCUGCUGCAUGGUGGGGGUUGGAAAGCUCCGGCGGUUGUGGAUGGACUCGCGGCCUAUCAGCUUGUUGGUGGGGUAGUGGCCUACCAAGGCGGCGACGGGUAGCCGGCCUGAGAGGGUGACCGGCCACAUUGGGACUGUGAUACGGCCCAGACUCCUACGGGAGGCAGCAGUGGGGAAUAUUGCACAAUGGGCGCAAGCCUGAUGCAGCAACGCCGCGUGCGGGAUGACGGCCUUCGGGUUGUAAACCGCUUUCAGCAGGGACGAAGCUUUUUGUGACGGUACCUGCAGAAGAAGCACCGGCUAACUACGUG